CGACCUCAGAUCAGACGAGAUUACCCGCUAAAUUUAAGCAUAUCAAUAAGCGGUGGAAAAGAAACGAAAACGAAUUCUCCAAGUAGCGGCGAGCGAAACGAGAAAAGUCCAUACACCGAAGUCGGCGAGCAGUUGUGUUCGUCAACAGUGUGGUGUUAAAGGUGUCGUUGCAUGUGCUGAAAUCAGUUCGUAGGCUCCCUUGAUUGGGGCUUCAGAGCGGGUGCAGGACCCAUAACGAACGAUGUUUUGUGCAUGGUGUCGCGGCUCCUAAUCGAGUCGGGUUGCUUGAGACUGCAGCCCAAAGCGGGUGGUAAAUCUCACCCAAGACUAAAUAUUCGUACGAGACCGAUAGCGAACAAGUACCGCGAGGGAAAGUUGAAAAGAACUCUGAAGAGAGAGUUCAACAGGACGUGAAACCGUUGACAGGCAAACGGAUGGAGCAGACGGUGCAAUUUUGACCAAAAUCAGUCGUCGCUGGGUUCAUUGGCGAAUGAAUCUUUUGCAAACUUGUUUGUGUAGAUUAUCUUUC
rnacentral:ncRNA from 1 species